rnacentral:rRNA from 1 species
CCUACGGGGUGCAGCAGUGGGGAAUAUUGGACAAUGGGCGAAAGCCUGAUCCAGCCAUGCCGCGUGUGUGAAGAAGGCCUUCGGGUUGUAAAGCACUUUCAGUGGGGAAGAAAGCCUUGGGGCUAAUACCCUCGAGGAAGGACAUCACCCACAGAAGAAGCACCGGCUAACUCCGUGCCAGCAGCCGCGGUAAUACGGAGGGUGCGAGCGUUAAUCGGAAUUACUGGGCGUAAAGCGCGCGUAGGCGGUCUGAUAAGCCGGUUGUGAAAGCCCCGGGCUCAACCUGGGAACGGCAUCCGGAACUGUCAGGCUAGAGUGCAGGAGAGGAAGGUAGAAUUCCCGGUGUAGCGGUGAAAUGCGUAGAGAUCGGGAGGAAUACCAGUGGCGAAGGCGGCCUUCUGGACUGACACUGACGCUGAGGUGCGAAAGCGUGGGUAGCAAACAGGAUUAGAUACCCCGUAGUC